UUCUUUUUGAUUUAUUAAUAAAAGUAAGUUCUGCUCAAUGAUUUUUAAAUAGCUGUAUUUUACACUAAGGUAGCAUAAUCAAUUGUCUAUUUAUUGUAGGCUUGUAUGAAGGAAUAAAUAAUUAGGCACUGUCUUGAUAAUAAAUUUUGAAUUUUGAAUUUUAGUAAAAAUACUAAAAUAAAAUAUAGGGACAAGAAGACCCUAUAAAGCUUUAAAAUAUGGUUUAAUCUUAAAUUUUUCUAUAUUUUCAAUUGGGGCAAUUAUUUAUAAUAAAAAAUAUAAAAAUAGUAAGCUAAUAAAUGAUAUGAUCCUUUCUUAAAGAUUAUUUGAAUAAGUUACUUUAGGGAUAACAGUAUAAUUUUUAUUUAUUAGUACAAAUUUACAAUGAAGAUUAUAACCUCGAUGUUGAAUUAAUUUUAUAAUAAGGUGCAGAAGCUUUAUAUAUUUGACUGCUCGUCAAUAAAAAAAUUACA
rnacentral:rRNA from 1 species